CGACCCUCAUGUGCUUGCAUCGGAAAUGGCUUCCUGGUGGUCUUUGGGGACUUCACAAUCUGGGCACAACAGUGAAACAGGGGUUAAAGAAUAUAUUGACCCAGCUCUCUUAAAUUUUACCAGAAGUCUGACAGCCACAGGGAGAAGAGGAGAGAUUCAUACACAUUCUGCUACAGUAACAG
rnacentral:lncRNA from 1 species